GCCCAUUGUGGGCCAAGGGAUCCUCCGCCUGGCGUCCCUGCUCUUGCUACAAGAAGACAUUCUCCUGAAGGCUGUAUUGAAGACCCUAGUGAGGCAGGUUGUUAACAUGGAAGUUAACAAAGAAGCAGAUAUCCACCUGCAGUCCAUACUGGACCCUACACUGAAGAAGAAGAAUGCUCAAAGAAGACUGUGACAUUAUGAUUAGCCCGUGAUGGAGCAGACUUCUGACAAAACCUAUGGACAGAGAGGACCCUACUUUGGAACAAAUUUGCUGACAGGACUUGUGAUCCUGCAGGGAGGCCAUGCUGCAGCAGUCCAUUGCUGGAGGACUACAAUCCAUGGAAGUGACCCAUGCUGGAACAGCUUGUGAAGAACUGCAGCCCAGGGGAAGGACUUACAUUGAUGAAUUUUGUGGAGGACUGUGUCCCACGGGAGGAACGUUGAACAAAAUAAGAGUGAUCUUCAAUAGUCUAUUAUCCCUUCAACUACUGGGCUGCAGAGAGAUGCAGUGCUCUUCUGCAGUGUCCUUAAGACAAGGUGAUUUCAAGACCAAACUCAUAUAUCAUGUGAUGAUCUUGCAUUCCUCUGGAAUGUACAAAACACAUGGUUCCCAACAUGCUGACAUGUUUCUUUACACAAUGCAGGCAGCCUACAGGCAUGCAAUUCUAUGGAUGGGCAAGGAGCUAGGAAAGAAAUGGGCAAGUAGCUAGAAAAGAAAUAUCCAGAGACUUGUCUUUUGAGGGUGUGUAGAUGUAGCAACUGAGGUUUGACCAUUUUUGGUUAGUGAUUUUCUUCUUUUUUUCUGCCUUUUUUACUGCUGAACAUUUCCUGAGAACUAGAAGCAGCAUGUAACUCACAUAAUUCCUGACUGUUUUCCUUCUGCCCACAUGAGCUGUAACUGUGAAGUUGAACAGUCUUGCUGAAUUAUUUUCUGAGCAUACUCAGCAGAACUGUGAGCAGGAUCAGAAGCUCUGGGAUUUUUAUGUGCAACCUUAAAACUACUUUGUGUUUAGUGUAUAGUUGAUUAAUACUUAGAAUCAUAUGAGUUUCAAACAUCAUUUCAACAAAUAAACACUGAAAAAAGAUGGAUGCUCUCAGUCCUGCAGUUGGCAAGGCAAAUUUCUGAAUUACCAGCAGAAGAGUGUCAGAGAUUUUCAAGCUCUGCACUUGCAAUAUGAAUACAGAUUAAUUGGUGCCUACAGGGCCUUCAUGUAAACACCCACUAAUCUGUUAAAAAAGAAAUAUGAAUGGUCCUGAUCACUAAUAGGAAUUUCCUCAGGGACCUUAAUGAAAGUUAGAUUAGGCAGUGAAUGCUCAGAGAUUCUUCUGUUAAACAACAGCACAGUCUUCUUAUUGUGGGAGGUGGCACUUUUCUACAGUCAAUGUAGACUCAAUGCUUUAGAUCUGAUAAAACUUUUCUUUUCCCAGAAAAUAUCAAAAGAUAAUGAGAUUGUGGGAGGUUGGUGGGGAUUUUUUUUGCCAGAUUUUCAAGUGACUAUUUCUAGCCUCCUACUAUGUGAAAUACUGGCAGAUUUCACAAGGUCUUUGAAUGAUUCCUCAAUAAAAUCCUUCCUCAGGUCUUCAGA